rnacentral:rRNA from 1 species
UACGGAGGGUGCAAGCGUUAUCCGGAUUCACUGGGUUUAAAGGGUGCGUAGGAGGGUAGGUAAGUCAGGGGGGAAAUCUUCGAGCUUAACUCGGAAACUGCCGUUGAUACUAUCUAUCUUGAAUACCGUGGAGGUGAGCGGAAUAUGUCAUGUAGCGGUGAAAUGCUUAGAUAUGACAUAGAACACCAAUUGCGAAGGCAGCUCGCUACACGAAUAUUGACUCUGAGGCACGAAAGCGUGGGGAUCAAACAGG